UGAGUAAGCUGGACGGCCGCGUGACUAAGCGUUUAGUCAUGAGGAAAGUCUGAGCUCCACAGGGCAAGGGCGCCGGGUAACGCCCGGCGAAGGCGACUUCAGGGAAAGUGCAACAGAAAUAAACCGCCUCAAUGCGCGCUCACUCUCUUAGGAUUAAUUAUGCAUUGAGGUAAGGGUGGAAAGGCGGCGUAAGAGACCACCGCUUUCCCGGCGACGGGAAAGGCUCUGUAAACCCCGCCCGGAGCAAGACCAAGUAAGGCGCAUGGGGCUGCCCGUCCCGCCUUGGUUAGGUCGCGCGAGCGCGCUGGGCAACCGCGCGCCAAGAUAGAUGGCCGUCGAACACAGAACUCAGCUUAUAGGCUUGCUCAUUUU
rnacentral:RNase_P_RNA from 1 species